ACGAACGCUGGCGGCGUGCUUAACACAUGCAAGUCGCACGGAAAGGCCCUGCUUUUGUGGGGUGCUCGAGUGGCGAACGGGUGAGUAACACGUGAGUAACCUGCCCUUGACUUUGGGAUAACUUCAGGAAACUGGGGCUAAUACCGGAUAGGAGCUCCUGCUGCAUGGUGGGGGUUGGAAAGUUUCGGCGGUUGGGGAUGGACUCGCGGCUUAUCAGCUUGUUGGUGGGGUAGUGGCUUACCAAGGCUUUGACGGGUAGCCGGCCUGAGAGGGUGACCGGCCACAUUGGGACUGGGAUACGGCCCAGACUCCUACGGGAGGCAGCAGUGGGGAAUAUGGCACAAUGGGCGGAAGCCUGAUGCAGCAACGCCGCGUGCGGGAGGACGGCCUUCGGGUGGUAAACCGCUUUCGCCUGUGACGAAGCGUGAGUGACGGUAAUGGGUAAAGAAGCACCGGCUAACUACGU
rnacentral:rRNA from 1 species